rnacentral:rRNA from 1 species
CCUACGGGAGGCAGCAGUAGGGAAUCUUCCACAAUGGGCGAAAGCCUGAUGGAGCAACGCCGCGUGGGUGAAGAAGGUCUUCGGAUCGUAAAACCCUGUUGUUAGAGAAGUAAGAGCGUGAGAGUAACUGUUCACGUUUCGACGGUAUCUAACCAGAAAGCCACGGCUAACUACGUGCCAGCAGCCGCGGUAAUACGUAGGUGGCAAGCGUUAUCCGGAUUUAUUGGGCGUAAAGGGAACGCAGGCGGUCUUUUAAGUCUGAUGUGAAAGCUUUCGGCUUAACCGGAGUAGUGCAUUGGAUACUGGGAGACUUGAGUGCAGAAGAGGAGAGCGGAACUCCAUGUGUAGCGGUGAAAUGCGUAGAUAUAUGGAAGAACACCAGUGGCGAAAGCGGCUCUCUGGUCUGUAACUGACGCUGAGGUUCGAAAGCGUGGGUAGCAAACAGGAUUAGAUACCCCAGUAGUC